AGCAGCCACGGUAAUUCCAGCUCCAAUAGCGUAUAUUAAAGUUGUUGCAGUUAAAAAGCUCGUAGUUGAAUUUUAGGCCUGACCGGACGGUCCGUCUCUGGCGAGUACUGUUUUGCUGUCGGGUCUAUCCUUCUGGUGAGCCGGUAUGCUCUUUAUUGGGUGUGUCGGAGAACCAGGACCAUUACCUUGAAAAAAUUAGAGUGUUUAAAGUGGGCUUUUGCUUGAAUAGAUUAGCAUGAAAUAAUAGAAUAGGACGUUGGUUCUAUUUUGUUGGGCUAGGACCACCGUAAUGAUUAAUAGGAAUAGUUGGGAACAUUAGUAUUCAAUUGUCAGAGGUGAAAUUCUUGGAUUUAUUGAAGACUAACUAUUGCGAAAGCAUUUGCCAAGGAUGUUUUCAUUAAUCAAAAACGAAAGUUAGGGAAUCGAAAACGAUCAGAUACUGUCGUAGUCUUAACCAUAAACUAUGCCGACUAGGAAUCGGGCGACGUUAUUCUCAUGACUCGCUCAGCGCCUUAUGGGA
rnacentral:rRNA from 1 species